GAGUUUGAUCUUGGCUCAGAUUGAACGCUGGCGGCAUGCCUUACACAUGCAAGUCGAACGGUAACAGGUCUUCGGACGCUGACGAGUGGCGAACGGGUGAGUAAUACAUCGGAACGUGCCCAGUCGUGGGGGAUAACUACUCGAAAGAGUAGCUAAUACCGCAUACGAUCUGAGGAUGAAAGCGGGGGACCUUCGGGCCUCGCGCGAUUGGAGCGGCCGAUGGCAGAUUAGGUAGCUGGUGGGAUAAAAGCUUACCAAGCCGACGAUCUGUAGCUGGUCUGAGAGGACGACCAGCCACACUGAGACUGAGACACGGCCCAGACUCCUACGGGAGGCAGCAGUGGGAAUUUUGGACAAUGGGCGAAAGCCUGAUCCAGCAAUGCCGCGUGCAGGAUGAAGGCC
rnacentral:rRNA from 1 species